UGAGGAAUAUUGGACAAUGGGUGGAAGCCUGAUCCAGCCAUCCCGCGUGUAGGAUGACGGCCUUAUGGGUUGUAAACUACUUUUAUCUGGGGAUAAACCUACUUACGUGUAAGUAGCUGAAGGUACCAGAAGAAUAAGCACCGGCUAACUCCGUGCCAGCAGCCGCGGUAAUACGGAGGGUGCAAGCGUUAUCCGGAUUUAUUGGGUUUAAAGGGUCCGUAGGCGGACUAAUCAGUCAGUGGUGAAAUCCCUUAGCUUAACUAAGGAACUGCCAUUGAUACUGUUAGUCUUGAGUGAGGUUGCAGUGGCUGGAAUGUGUAGUGUAGCGGUGAAAUGCUUUAGAUAUUUACGCAGAACACCAAUUGCGAAGGCAGGUCACUAAGCCUCAACUGACGCUGAUGGACGAAAGCGUGGGGAGCGAACA
rnacentral:rRNA from 1 species